rnacentral:rRNA from 1 species
UUUAUUGGAGAGUUUGAUCCUGGCUCAGGAUGAACGCUGGCGGCGUGCCUAAUACAUGCAAGUCGAGCGAAUGGAUUAAGAGCUUGCUCUUAUGAAGUUAGCGGCGGACGGGUGAGUAACACGUGGGUAACCUGCCCAUAAGACUGGGAUAACUCCGGGAAACCGGGGCUAAUACCGG